rnacentral:rRNA from 1 species
UACAGAGGGUGCAAGCGUUAUUCGGAAUUAUUGGGCGUAAAGAGCACGUAGGCGGCUUCGUAAGUCUGAUGUGAAAUCCCUGGACUCAAUCCAGGAAGUGCAUCGGGUACUGCGAGGCUGGAGGAUAGGAGAGGAGAGCGGAAUUCCUGGUGUAGAGGUGAAAUUCGUAGAUAUCAGGAGGAACAACAGAAGCGAAGGCGGCUCUCUGGACUAUAACUGACGCUGAGGUGCGAAAGCGUGGGGAGCAAACAGG